rnacentral:rRNA from 1 species
CAGCCGCCGCGGUAAUGCGAAGGGUGCAAGCGUUAAUCGGAACUACUGGGCGUAAAGCGUGCGUAGGCGGUUUGUUAAGUCUGUUGUGAAAUCCCCGGGCUCAACCUGGGAAUGGCAAUGGAUACUGGCAAGCUAGAGUGUGUCAGAGGAUGGUGGAAUUCCCGGUGUAGCGGUGAAAUGCGUAGAGAUCGGGAGGAACAUCAGUGGCGAAGGCGGCCAUCUGGGACAACACUGACGCUGAGGCACGAAAGCGUGGGGAGCAAACAGGAUUAGAUACCCCGGUAGUCCCUGUCUCUUAUAC